UGUGUAUUGAGGAUUUCAUUAUCCAGAAUGAUGUGACCGUAAACAACCUUGAACGUUGCUGCGAACCACUGAGUUAAGCUCAUUGCCACACAGUGGGUUUACUAUGAUUAUUAUCUACUCUCUGAAUAAAGAUGGUUGUCAUGUGAACUGACAAGUA